rnacentral:rRNA from 1 species
GACGUAGGGUGCGAGCGUUGUCCGGAUUUAUUGGGCGUAAAGGGCUCGUAGGCGGUCUGUCGCGUCGGGAGUGAAAACUCAGGGCUUAACCCUGAGCCUGCUUCCGAUACGGGCAGACUAGAGGUAUGCAGGGGAGAACGGAAUUCCUGGUGUAGCGGUGAAAUGCGCAGAUAUCAGGAGGAACACCGGUGGCGAAGGCGGUUCUCUGGGCAUUACCUGACGCUGAGGAGCGAAAGUGUGGGGAGCGAACAGG